UUUAAUUCGAAGCAACGCGAAGAACCUUACCAGGUCUUGACAUCCCUCUGACCGCUCUAGAGAUAGAGUUUUCCUUCGGGACAGAGGUGACAGGUGGUGCAUGGUUGUCGUCAGCUCGUGUCGUGAGAUGUUGGGUUAAGUCCCGCAACGAGCGCAACCCUUAUUGUUAGUUGCCAUCAUUCAGUUGGGCACUCUAACGAGACUGCCGGUAAUAAACCGGAGGAAGGUGGGGAUGACGUCAAAUCAGCAUGCCCCUUAUGACCUGGGCUACACACGUGCUACAAUGGCUGGUACAACGAGUCGCAAGCCGGUGACGGCAAGCUAAUCUCUUAAAGCCAGUCUCAGUUCGGAUUGUAGGCUGCAACUCGCCUACAUGAAGUCGGAAUCGCUAGUAAUCGCGGAUCAGCACGCCG
rnacentral:rRNA from 1 species